GCGGCGUGGCGCUGACGUCACCGGGGCGGUCGCCGGGAGCCCGCGCACCGGGACCCCCGGGAGGAACUGCCGGGAACCACCGGGAAUUACCGGGAAUUAGCGGGGGCUGCUCCGGGAGGAGCCCCCGGGCACGGCGGGGCCCCGCGCGGCUCCAGGGACCGCCGCGAUGCGCAGCGGAGCAUCCCGGAGAGGCGCGGGAAUGCCCCGGGCAGGGCAGCUGGAAUGGAGCUGGCUCCUAGAAAGGCUGAAUGCUUGGAGUCAGAAAAUUCCCUGCUGUCACAUCGUCCCUUGCCUUGGAGCUGGGCUCAGGCUUACAGUGAUUCCUGUUGCACACUCUUCCCAUCCCAGGUGUCAACUGAGCAGAGUCAGGAUCAGCUGCAGUUAUUCCAGAGUACGUGUCCACGUGCAGAAUAUUCCAGAACAGGAUCUUGACCAAGUCCUUCCUAGGGCAGGGGUAAAGCAGCAGAAUUUCAGAUCUCAAGCUUUUAUUAAGGUGAGUGUUCAAGGCUGGCCCUGGAUGGGUGUCCUGGGCCGCUCUUUGGUGGGUGAAAGGCAAUUGUUGGGCUGGAGAGAGGACGGAGCAGAACCCAAUUGACCCACACCGUGCAGGGAGCAGCGCUGAGCCCCUUUCACCAAGAGUCCUUGCUAAGAAACCUUUUUUAUUAGAGCUGAGUGCUGGAAUUAUUUCAAGGAAGUGAUUAUCUGCCUAAUAACAACUGUGCCCGCGUGAGUGACCGCCACAGGAAG
rnacentral:lncRNA from 1 species